rnacentral:lncRNA from 1 species
AGUCUACCAACUCAACAGUAGACCAGUCCAACCACAAACUGACAUGCACAAACAUGGCAUAUGUUGCUAGCUUUCCCUCCUAUGCACAUCCUUGUGGGUUGGAUUGGUCCAUCAAGUUGGUGAACCUGAUCCAACAAAUAACUUGAAAAAGAAAACAAGUAGGUAAGUAAAAUUAUCAACUAGACCUGGUCCAUCAGUU